UAUUAGAGGGUUAAUUAUAUUAUUAAGAGUAAAAUUUUGUGUAGUAAAUACACCUUUAAUAA
rnacentral:tRNA from 1 species